rnacentral:misc_RNA from 1 species
AAGUCGUAACAAGGUUUCCGUAGGUGAACCUGCGGAAGGAUCAUUCAUGUAAUAUCCAUUGGGUAAGAGUUGUGGAUCUAAUUCACUUCUCCCAACCUCUAACACUUUGUGAACCAAAUAGCCUAGAUAGCUCUUGCCCACUAUAGCAUUCCGUGGAGUGCUGCUUUGUGGGCAACAGCCGUCAUUUACAACAAACAUUUUACCAAUUGCAUUAUAAUACAAUAGACAAAAGUUAUAUAUAAUUAAAUAUAACCUUUAACAAUGGAUCUCUUGGUUCCU